GGCGUCGUGGCACAACCCGGUACUGCGUCGGUCUUGAAAACCGAUUUCCGUAAGGAUAUCCCGGUUCAAAUCCGGGCGACGCCG
rnacentral:tRNA from 1 species